AGGUAACCCUCACCACGCAUACUUCUCCAUCAUUCUGAGUUGAGGAGAAAAAUCUCUGCAUCUCCAGGAAUCCGAAAUCCUCAUCCUGUCUCCAUUCAGCCUGUCUCAAGGUCAAGUGUGUAUCUUUUCUGCAUAGUUCUGCAUUCACAAUGAAAGGAAUGGAAACGGAAGAAAGCCGUAUGCCCCUCGCUCGUGAAACACGUGUGGGUGUCAUCCAUCUCUUCAGGAUUCGGAGUGCCCCAAAGCACGAUUUGCAAACCACAAACAGGUGGUGGUGGAUAAAUGCAUCAAAAAUAUAACGUGCAGUUCAACAACUUCUAUUCUGAAUGGCUAUCCUAACUGUGUAAAAGAUCAUUGAUGUGUGUAGCCUUUGCGACUGGUUAAUUUGGGUAUUAAGAAUAAUAAAGAGACCAUUUGGUGAACUGAUGUUCUGAAAAAGAAUCAGAGCUACGGGUCAAGAGUUUAAGCUUUGAUAUUCCUUAUUUCAGGUAAGUCUAGUUCUCACUAUACCUUUAGGCAUAUAUCCAUAGAUGUAUAUUCCUGUACAUAUAUAUGAUAUGUUAUAUAAAUAUACAUAUAUAUGCCUAUUAAUAUAUGUCCUAAUAUUUUCACAUUAUUAAAAGAUUGAAUGUGUAAUGAAUAUACCUCAAUUAAUAAUAAAUCCAUUAUUAUAUUUUUAUUCUAUACAAAGGCAAAUGUCUCAUACAUCAAAAAUGUGUGUGAUAUGUUUUCUAGAACUAAUCAGAAGCGUUUCAUAAUGCAAAUGUAUUCAAUAGUUGAAAGUACAGUAUGUCAGUAUAAAUAUGUCAAUACAAAAACAGAAACAAAAGGGGGAACAAAAAUACUCAUAGGAGGAGAUAUGGAGACAAAGUUUGGAGCAGAGACUGAAGGAAUGGACAUUCAAAGCCUGACCCACCUGGGGAUCCAGCUCAUAUACAUACAGCCACCAAACCCAGACAAUAUUGCUGAUGCCAAGAAGUCCAUGCUGAGAGGAGCCUGAUAUAGCUGUCUCCUGAGAGGCCUUGCCAGAACAUGUCAAAUACAGAGGCGAAUGCUUGCAGCAAACCACUGAACUGAGAACAGGGUCCCAAUUGGAGGAAUUAGAGAAAGGAUUGAAGGAGCUGAAGGGGUUUGCAAGCCCAUGAGAACAACAAUACCAAUCAACCAGAGCUUCCAGGGACUAAACCACUACCCAAAGAGUACACAUGGACAGACCCAUGGCUCCAGCUGCAUAUGUAGCAGAGGAUGGUCUUGUUGGGCACCAAUGGUAGAAGCCCUUUGUACUACCAAGGCUGGACCCAAGAGCAUAGGGGAAUGUCAGAGCGGGGAGGUAGGAAGUGGUGGGUGG